UUGCAUCUGAAAUUGAAGCCUCAAUCAACCAAUUUUCGAAUCAAGCAAAUCGGAGGCAGUGGGGUUCUAUAUUCCCCUUUGACUUACAUUUUUGAUGAAGAAACUCCAAGAUGGCGUGAACUUCUCUCAAAACUUGGCCUCUAAGCCCUUGGAGACCUUGUUGCAUAUUUUGUAGCUAUAUCAAUGCUAAAGAUUUUGUUGAGCACAUCUUUGAUACCUGCAAUUGUUUAAAAGUAGAAAGGAUGCACUGCAUGAGGAUU